UACUAUAACAUAUGUGACAGCCUCCCCACAACAAAGAAUUAUCCAGCCCAAAAUGUCACUAGUGCCAAGGUUAACAAGUCUUGCUCUCAGAUAAUUCUUUGCCUAUCACAGGCAUUCUUUGUCCCCAGCUACAGUGUCAUAUAAGCCAUCUCAAACAAGGGUAUAUUCGUUGUCCCCCUUAUCCACGGUGUUGCUUUUCGUGCUUUCAGUUACCUAAGGUCCAAAAAUAUUACAUGAAAAAUUCCAGAAAUAAACAAUUCAUAAGUUUUAAAUUGCACUCGGUUCUGAGUAGCAUCAUUAAAUACCACCUGGGACUUGAGUCAUCCCCUUUGUCCGGUGUAUUCGCACUAUGUUACACUAUUCCCCAACCCUCAUUCCUUACUGUAUAGGAAAAAACAGUAUGUAUAGGGUUUGGUACUAUCUGAGGUUUCAGGCCUGCAGUAGGGGUCUUGGAAUGUAUCCUCGGAAAGCCUGGCUAAUUUUUUAAAUUUCUUUGUAGAGAGGGGUCUCACUAUGUUGCCCAGGCUGGUGUCAAACUCCUGGGCUCAAUCCUCCUGCCUCGGCCUCCCAGAACAUUGGGGUUACAAGCAUGAGCCACUGUACCUGGCCCUCCUCCAAUUUUUUCUUAAGAAAAAAGAGAAUUCAUACUUCAUUUACCUGACAGUCCUCAUCCCAUUUAAGUGUAUACAAUGGAAAUACGUACAUUUAUGACCAAUAUUGGUCUCUUUCUUUCUGUAGGUUUGAGUUUUGAUUAUAGACUUCGAUGGAGAAAGCAAUGGCGCCACAACCCAGCCAGGGUGCCCUGCCAGGACUUCCUCAUCUCUUGCAGUGAAACCCCCUUAUCAAACAUUACGUGCUAUCUGGCCCCCUUUGUCAUACUUUCUUGCACUCCACUUACUACAUAUCAAGGAUUUGCCAUGUUGUGGAAAAGUUGGUUUCAUAACAUAUUUUGAACUCUUAUUUAAGGGAGUUGUUUUUCUUAUAUUCUUCAUUCCACAAAUACUUAACCAAGGCAUAUUUUGCCACAGGUACAUGACUUCCAAAGAAAUCAUAACUAUAGUUAUCCAAAAAAAUUAAAAUAAUUUAGUAAUGUCCACAUCGUCUUAAACACUCUUCCAGAAUGUUCCAAAGGAACAAAUGGUUGCAGUGACUUUUAACUUUAGCCCCAGCCUACUUCCAGCUAAGGCAGUUCUCACUGCAGAUAUAUGUAUUCAUUGGUCCAAAGAAAGAGAGAGGAAAACUUGGCUCCCGAGUAUUUAGAGUGAAUGAUUCACGAUUCUGUACAUGGGAGUCUUGGCUCCUUCUCUGUCUCUCAGGCUUUUUGGUAGGAAGUCAAUGAUACCAGUAGAAAAAAGGCUGUUUUUCUGACUUAGGAUUUGGUCCGCUCUCUGCAACCCACUAGAGAAACUGAAGUUUUCUUUCCAUAAUGAUCUGAAGUGUUGAUAGUUACCAUCUCUGUAAAAGCUCAUUAAAAAAUGACUUAUUUUCCUUUGGAAGGAGAGGUCACAUGCUGGAGCUAGCAGUGGAAUAUCAGGACCAAGGAUCAUAAGCCUCCUGCUGUAACUCUGGUUUCCAGAUUUAUUUGAGCCUACUUCUGCCAGAAGUAAAUUUGGUGGGCAUCUUGAAUGGAGAAAUGAACAGAUGAUCAAGGAGAGGGAAAAGGGUCAGGAGUAGGGGUGGGAAGACCCCAAAAUCCAGUGAAAAGGGUCAGGGGUAGGGGUGGGAAGCCCCAAAAUCCAGUGUGGCAGAUAAGGGGAGGCCCAAAAUCCAGUGUGGCAGACAAGGGGUGAGGGCAUCCGAAACACACAGUUUACUAUUUUAACCAUUUUUAGGUGUAUGAUUCAGUAGCAUUGGCUACAUUUACAAUGUUAUGCAAGCAUCAUCCAUGUCCAGAUUUUUUUCACCGUCUCUAACAGAAAAUCUACCAUUGAACAAUAACUCCCCUCCCAUCCCUCUAGUCCCUGGUAAGCUCUAUUCUACUUUCUGUCUGUAUGAACUUGACCACUCUAGAUACCUCAUAUAAGUGGAAU
rnacentral:lncRNA from 1 species